GACGAACGCUGGCGGCGUGCCUAAUACAUGCAAGUUGAGCGCUGAAGGUUGGUACUUGUACCAACUGGAUGAGCAGCGAACGGGUGAGUAACGCGUGGGGAAUCUGCCUUUGAGCGGGGGACAACAUUUGGAAACGAAUGCUAAUACCGCAUAAAAACUUUAAACACAAGUUUUAAGUUUGAAAGAUGCAAUUGCAUCACUCAAAGAUGAUCCCGCGUUGUAUUAGCUAGUUGGUGAGGUAAAGGCUCACCAAGGCGAGGAUACAUAGCCGACCUGAGAGGGUGAUCGGCCACAUUGGGACUGAGACACGGCCCAAACGCCUACGGGAGGCAGCAGGAGGGAAUCUUCGGCAAUGGACGAAAGUCUGACCGAGCAACGCCGCGUGAGUGAAGAAGGUUUUCGGAUCGUAAAACUCUGUUGGUAGAGAAGAACGUUGGUGAGAGUGGAAAGCUCAUCAAGUGACGGUAACUACCCAGAAAGGGACGGCUAACUACGUG
rnacentral:rRNA from 1 species